rnacentral:misc_RNA from 1 species
AAUAUAAUUUUAAUUAAAGUGCAUAUCUGGUAUUGUUUAACUAUUGUGAACAAAUAUAUUUUACCGUAUAUUACACAUAUCUUAUACUGUAUACCUUAGAUUAGGAUAGACAUUGAAGUUAAGAAGAGGUCCGUCUGGUGUACGAAACGGCCAGUAUCAUGGCCAGAGUGACCCAAUACUCUAGGAAGACUGGAGCAGGACCCGCACACCGCCCCCUUCACGGCUCCAACGCAACAAUAUCACCAUGGAUACGGAAAAGACUAUAAUAAGCAAAAUGAAACCAGAAAAUGCUGCAGCAUAUAGUGAGCUACAAGCAGAAAUACAGGAGGAUCGAGAAAAUGAACUGGAAUGGAGCACUGCCAGAAAUUUCACAGAGGAUAUCCCACCAGAGAGGUGUUCAAUAGACUAGAAGAUAAGAUGGAAAGCAAGAAUCUGAGUCUGAGAAGAGUCCUUGAAUAUUUGGUUGAGCUUGGUCACCACGACGUCUUGAGAGUCGUAAACUGGCAAGAAGGCAUUGAAAAAUUCAAGAAUGACUACAAUAAUUCCAAAGGGCUCCAUAAGGUCUCUAAACCUUGUCGUUUGGAACACACGAAGUACGUUCCAGCAUCAUUCACGUUCUCAGUACACCAGGCACCUGAGGUUUUAGUAGGAGCUAGCAAUGAGGGUGUUACAGAAGAUCGAGAGCGCAACUGCCCUAGUGGGAGUCAUCCCUCGUCAAAAGCUUCACGCUCAGUGCUUGAUGCCAGAGUCUUGAUGGUAUUUGCUCAGGAUGCUAGAAUGCAAGCCCUGAAAGUUGCUGAUCAGCUAAGGAACCCAACCUUGCCAAGAGGAAGAGUUGGAGUGCUUCUCUUGAGCGAGUCCACGAUGGAUACAGUUGCCUCUCAAUUGAGGAUUGAUCCUGGCAAUAGUAUCCAUAAGUGGUUUAAACAGGUUGAUUUUGUGGUUCCUGUGCUGUCACCACAGUUCUUGCGUCAGAUUCAAAACCAAGAUUGGGAUAGUAACUGUAUGGAUGAAAAACGCUACAAUCGCUUUGUGUACCGUCUGACAUUGGAUCAUUACGUAAAUAAAGGCAGCAGAAACUACAAGUGUCGUCCUCUCUGCCCUUCCGAGUACCACUCUGAGGUGAUGAAAAGUGAGCUAGUAGAGGGAAAUGGACUUUUGCAAAUGUUUUGGAAUUGCUCACAGGAAAACAAGGUUGAAGAGUUUGCCGAGAUUAUCAUAAACGAAGCUAAACUACAGAAGAAGAAAAAAACAAAGCACUGAUCUUUUGUGACAAGCUACUGAAAAAGGGAUGGUUAAUCAUACAUGGAAUCGGGGAAGAAAAUACCAGCCUCAAUACAAAAAACGAAUAAACUCUGAUUAAACAACAACUUCCCGAUUUUCACAAGAGGAUAUGGAUUUAACAAAACCGAAUGGUGACAACUUCACGCACAAACAUACAAUCAGGAUGAUUAACAUGGAUGUAAACACAAGCAGGAUCACAAAAAAA